GGGUGGCGAGUGGCGAACGGGUGAGUAACGCGUAGGAAUAUACCUUAAAGAGAGGGACAACUUGGGGAAACUCAAGCUAAUACCGCAUAAACUCUGAGGAGAAAAGCUGGGGACCGCAAGGCCUGGCGCUUUAAGAUUAGCCUGCGUCCGAUUAGCUAGUUGGUGGGGUAAAGGCCUACCAAGGCGACGAUCGGUAGCUGGUCUGAGAGGAUGAUCAGCCACACUGGGACUGAGACACGGCCCAGACUCC
rnacentral:rRNA from 1 species